rnacentral:lncRNA from 1 species
GCUCAGUGGACCCUGGGUCCAAUCCCCUGUACCAAAAAAAAAAUUAUAUAUAUAUAUAUAUAUAUAUAUAUAUAUAUAUAAAGUGUGCUGAUCAAUGGCUUUAUUAUAUUCGCAAUGUUUUUGGCAAUCACCACCACUACCAGCUUUAGAACAUUUCAUCAAUCCCAGAAGAACCUUGCAGCCAUUAUGACUGGCUUCUUCCACUUUGCUUAAGGUUGUAGCAUGUAUCAAUACUUUAUUUCUUUUCAUUGCCGAAUAAUAUUUCUCUUUAUGUGUCUACCACAUUUUAUUUAUCUGUUCAUUAGCUAAUAAACAUACAAAUUGUUCCCACUUUGGGACUCUGUGGAGUAACACUCCUGUAAACGCUGUGUACACAUUGCUGUGUGAAUAUGUUUUCACAUCUCCUAGGUACAUACCUAAGAUCGGAAUUGCUGGGUCGUGUGCAAACUCUAUGUUGAACACUGAGAAGCGCCCACACUGCUUUCCAAAGUGACUGCUUCACUCUAUAUCCCCACCAGGAGCACAUGACAGUUCCAAUUUCCCCAAAUUCUCAUCAACACUUGUUAUUAUCUUUUAAAAAAAUUAUGGCCAUCCUAGUGGAUGUGCAGAGGGAUCUUAGGAUUUUAGUUUGCAUUUCCCUAAUGGCUAAUGAAGUUGACCAUUUUCGUGUGCUUUUUUAGCCAUUUGCAUAUCUUCUUUAGAGGGAUGUGUAUUCAGAUAUUUCACCCAUUUUACAAAUUCAGCCAGUCAUUUUUAUUAUUGAGUUGUAAAAGUUCUUUCUAUAUUCUAGAUGCAAGCUCCUUAUCAGAUGUAUUACUUGCAAAUUAUGACAUUUGAAUAAUCUUCAUUACGUCGUUUGCAGCACAAAUGGUUUUAGUUUGAUGAAACUAACUUCAUCUGCUCUUCUCUGUGCUGUUGUUGGUACUUAUGCUUUGGGAGUGUCUAAGAGACUAUGACCCAAUCCACGGUGAUAACGAUUUGCUCCUGUGCUGAGAGCCAUAGCCAAGUAGGAAUGACGCAUGGCAAUUUCCUUGUCAGCCUACCCCAUGUUGCUUAGAGGGAGGACUCUCCGUUGUGGAAAUGGGCUUGCCUUGGACCCAGGUCAUUUGCAGUGACAUUGCAUGAAUGUUUGAGAAAGGUGACCCUGCUCAAGGACCAGGGUGGAUCCGGGUUUAGGGAGGAUCCUGCUGGAUUAGGGUGGGUUCAGGUUUAGGGUGUAUCCUGCUAGGAAUAGGGAGUAUCCUGCUGCCUCAGGCGCCCGCCCGCUCCUUGAGUUCCCGUUGAGUUCUCGUGGGAUUCAGAGAGUAUUUUGGGAUGCAGAGCCCGGUGGAGGUGUGGAUUUUCCUAGAACGUGAGUGUAGAGUGCCGGUGACAGUUCGGGAAUAAAGAGUUGCUGUUUGAAUCUACAAGGCUGUGUGGUGGUUCGGUUAUUUUGUGCCCAGCUAGACUGCGGCACUCCUGUGACCUCUUCUGAGAGUUUUAGAGCUUUCCAUUAGGACCAUGAUCCAUCUUAAGAUGAUUUUUGCAUAAGAGGUGAGGCAGGCUCCAGUGUCAUUCUUUUGGAUGAGCAUAUUCAGUUGUCCCAGCAUCAUUUGUGAAAAAGACAAUUUUAUCAUCAUUGAAAUUUUUGUUGAAAAUCAAUUGACCACAACUGUAGGAGUUUACUUCUGGACUCCUGUUUCUAUUACAUUGGGCUGAAUGUUGCUCAUAUACCACACCAUCUCGAUUACUGUGGUUUUGAAGUAAGAUUUGAAAUCAGGAAAUGGGACUUCUCUAACUUUGAUCUUCUUUUACAAGAUUGCAGUGUCUGUUUGGUACACUUUGCAAUUCCAUAUGAAAUUUAGGAUCAUUUUGUUAUUUUCUGUUUGAAAACAUCCAGGUGGAGUUGUUAUAGGAACUUCACUGAACCAUAGAUCAAUCUGGGGAGUAUUGCCAUCUUAAAG